AUUGAACGCUGGCGGCAGGCUUAACACAUGCAAGUCGAGCGAGCGGCGGACGGGUGAGUAAUGUCUGGGAAACUGCCCGAUGGAGGGGGAUAACUACUGGAAACGGUGGCUAAUACCGCAUACCAUCAGAUGUGCCCAUAUGGGAUUAGCUAGUAGGUGGGGUAAUGGCUCACCAAGGCGACGAUCCCUAGCUGGUCUGAGAGGACGACCAGCCACACUGGAACUGAGACACGGCCCAGACUCCUACGGGAGGCAGCAGUGGGGAAUAUUGCACAAUGGGCGAAAGCCUGAUGCAGCCAUGCCGCGUGUGUGAAGAAGGCCUUCGGGUUGUAAAGCACUUUUGGCGGGGAGGCGGUACCUGCAGAAUAAGCACCGGCUAACUCCGUGCCAGCAGCCGCGGUAAUAC
rnacentral:rRNA from 1 species